GAUCUCAGACAUCAGUUCUAUUGAACUGAGAGUAGGGGGAUGUGGACAUUUUUGUGAAGGUGCAAUGUGAGUUGGACUGGAAGAAUGUCUAUUACAGAUCCUAAUUGAAGUAGCGAUUAUCCAGGCUUGUAUCCUGGGGGCUGAUGAGGAGUAGGGUUUCUGGACAACUUAAACAGAUCCAGAGUUAGUCGAUCCUAAUCUCAAUAAUGGGAGAAAGGGAGUACAGUUGAUAUUCUGUAACUGACAACAGUUCGCGGCAACGCAUACUAUUUUUCUCCGCCAAUCUUAUACCGUUGGUAGGGAUCUCUUUCCUACAUGACAGUACUAAUACCCAGGGAAACUGGUCAUCAGGCGAACUGCGGCGUUCUGCUGGCAAAACAUAGCUUCGGUUAUGUCAAUGGCUAUUGGAUUGGUCCAUGAAGCGAAAAAUAGUUUACUGUGUCACUCGUACCGAUAACCGCAUCAGGUCUUCUAGGUAAGUAGCCUAUGGCCAUUGAGGCAUGAUAGUUCAGGGAAUUCGGCCAAUUAGAGCUGUAACUUCGGGAUAAAGCUUGGCUCUGAUGAAAAUCAGAACCGAUUGUUACGCGGAGAGCCCAACUGUUUAAUAAAAACGUAGUGUCGCGCUGUGGUAGUAUAGCCAGUGAACGCGACAUGAAUCCUGCUCAGUGCUGUGUCUGUUAAUAUGGUUCAAGCCAACGAAGCACCGGUAAAUAGCUGGGGUAACUAUGACUCUUAUCAAAGUAGCGAAAUACCUCGUCACUUAAUUAGUGACCUGCAUGAACGGAGCUAUGAGGUUCUCACUGUCCCAAACUGUCUCUCAGCGAACCAACUGUAGUGGGAACGGUCACUAGAUAUCCAGCGGGGAAAGAAGACCCUGUAGAGCUUCACUUUGGUCUAGUCUUGUAUAGUUCCUGCGGGGGUGUAGACUAGGUGGGAGAGCAAUCGAUUCUGAAAAACCACUACCCUGUUUGGAAUUAUGCUUACCUAUCACAAGGAAUAGGACUAGAUAGAAAGUUUGGCUGGGGCGGCACACCUCGAAAGAGCAGCGAAG
rnacentral:ncRNA from 1 species